GGGGCUGUAGCCUAGCCUGGCAGGGCGGCGGGCUCCAGACCCGUGAGUCGUGGGUUCAAAUCCCACCAGCCCCA
rnacentral:tRNA from 2 species